CAUGUCUCUAUUUACUUCGGUUGGGUUACUGUUUUCCUCAUUUUGGGGUUUUGUCGAAUAAAUCGCCCUAGGGAAAUUUAGUUCCCUACCAAAAUUCAGAAAAGCCGGAGUAAGCCCGGUAGACUCUUGUUUAGCGGUGUUAAUAGCAAAAACUAAUUCCCCUAACUUUUCAUCCCAGUUUCUCUGAUCGGUUUCGCAAAACUGUGCAAUCAUAGUUUUCAGGGUUCGAUUUGCCCUUUCUACCGGAUUACACUGUGGCGAGUACGGUGGGGUAAAUCUGUGAGCUAUAUUCAGUUCCUGAAGGCUGUUUUUAAAUAACUUACUAUCAUACUGUACUCCAUUAUCGGAGAUAA